UGCUUUGUUAUGCAUACAUUAAUUUUGAAGUUCUUGUCAUUAUCCAUUAAGCACCGGCCUUAUGCCAUAAUUUUCAUUUGAUUUGGUGCUUGAAUUUUGAUGCAUAUAUAUCGUGUGUUUCUACUCUCUUAUUUUUAGCUGGGUAGUAUUUAUAGUGUGGUCGGGAUUCUUUGGAAGCUUAACUUUUUAAUAUAUUACUACUUGGUUAUCAAUUUUAUUAAACGUAGUUAUAUUCGGUUUGAUUCUUGUACUAAUUUUUUUUUCGUUUACCGUUGAACUUAAAUAUCUUCUAUGCAAAAAAAAAUUCUUCUAGUCAUUCUAUAUUUUGAAUUAACCAACGCAGACUAUAACAAUUAUAAAAAAUUGAAGUUUAAGAACUAACAAUUUGUAUUUUGUGCAUGAAAGUUUGGGUCUCCUUGUACGGUUUUGGACUCUGAAUUGUUUGUAUUAUUUUAUAUUUUGUGGCUUUGAAAAUUUUUUGAUAAAACUUUUGAAAUAGCAAAAUUUAUAAAUCAGAAUUCUGCGUCAUAACAUACCAAUGUCUUCCUCUUCCGUUGUUGAGUUUUGAGAUUUAAUAGAGACAGCGUGUUGAGAUGCACAUAUAAUACCUGAAACUUUUACUGUAUGUUAGGAUUUGUGGAUUUUAC
rnacentral:lncRNA from 1 species